UACGGGGGGGCAAGCGUUGUCCGGAUUUACUGGGCGUAAAGCGCGCGUAGGCGGAAACGCCAGUCCGGCCUGAAAGCCCCCGGCUCAACCGGGGAGAGUGGCUGGAAACUGCGUUUCUUGAGGGCGAGAGAGGAGGGUGGAAUUCCUGGUGUAGCGGUGAAAUGCGUAGAGAUCAGGAGGAACACCCGGGGCGAAGGCGGCCCUCUGGCUCGACCCUGACGCUGAGGCGCGAAAGCGUGGGGAGCGAACGGG
rnacentral:rRNA from 1 species